rnacentral:lncRNA from 1 species
UGACAUUUGUUUUCCUUAUCUGUCAGGACCGACUGCCUUAAGUGCGCGAUCCGCCGCUUAGAGCAGAGAAGUGGUUUAAUGGGAGGAGCAGGUUUUAUCUCCUAACAGCAACUUCUGCUUUAGUCAAAUGAGUUUCAUUAAGGGGGGGGGGGAAAGAACCUGAGCUGGGCUCCUGACAAUCAGGUCUGUCAGAUAAAAAUAGUAACCACACGAGCAGACCUUUGUCUAACUGCGCAUGCCCAGGACUGGGGCCCGCGUGGUUAGAGAACGCUCCGACAUCAGCUCAGAACGUGGUCCAAGUUGGUCCUUAAGACACCGAGUGCGCCUGCGCUUGCUGGGGGUGGGUCCUGGAGUGCUGGGUGGGGCCCUUGUGUGCUCUGCGCUUCUCCCGCGCUUUUCCAGAAAAAGUGUGCAUUUUGAUGGUUCGGAGCGGGCCUACGCGGAUUUGCUAUUGAGGUCCCCAUUUAAGGGUUUUACCGGCCCUGGCUCUCGUUCCUACGUCAACAAAAAUAAAAAUGAAAAGUAUUCAGAAACUCUAGGAAAAGAAGAAAAAAACCAAACAAAAAACAAAACCCAACAGCUGAACAAUUAAGCCACACUUCACAUAAUGAAG